rnacentral:sRNA from 1 species
AAAAAUGAACAAAGGCUAACAACGCCACUUCCUGUGGCAACGCCUUAGUGACCUACAUCCUGUAG